rnacentral:rRNA from 1 species
GAUGAACGCCGGCGGCGUGCUUAACGCAUGCAAGUCGAACGGUGAAAGCGGAGCUUGCUCUGCUGGAUCAGUGGCGAACGGGUGAGUAACACGUGAGCAAUCUGCCCCUGACUCUGGGAUAAGCGCUGGAAACGGCGUCUAAUACUGGAUACGAGCUGCGAAGGCAUCUUCAGCAGCUGGAAAGAAUUUCGGUCAGGGAUGAGCUCGCGGCCUAUCAGCUUGUUGGUGAGGUAAUGGCUCACCAAGGCGUCGACGGGUAGCCGGCCUGAGAGGGUGACCGGCCACACUGGGACUGAGACACGGCCCAGACUCCUACGGGAGGCAGCAGUGGGGAAUAUUGCACAAUGGGCGAAAGCCUGAUGCAGCAACGCCGCGUGAGGGACGACGGCCUUCGGGUUGUAAACCUCUUUUAGCAGGGAAGAAGCGAAAGUGACGGUACCUGCAGAAAAAGCGCCGGCUAACUACGUG